rnacentral:ncRNA from 1 species
AUAAAAGCUUAGAUAUGGAAAAGUAUUCUAUUUGAAUGUUUUUAGAGAGUGAGGGAUGGUGAAAACUCAUAACAUAGAGUAGAAGAAAAUCACCAUGGAGCUGUAAACUGAAAUUUUCAGUAAGUUUUUCCGUAGUUCUGCGUUAAAGAAUAGAGUAUUUUUGUACUUGAAAUUAUUUUAAUAGGUGGUUUAUGCGGCUGCGUCCUAUAA